CUCUUGACAUCCAGCGAACUUUCCAGAGAUGGAUUGGUGCCUUCGGGAACGCUGAGACAGGUGCUGCAUGGCUGUCGUCAGCUCGUGUUGUGAAAUGUUGGGUUAAGUCCGCAACGAGCGCAACCCUUAUCCUUUGUUGCCAGCGAUUCGGUCGGGAACUCAAAGGAGACUGCCGGUGAUAAACCGGAGGAAGGUGGGGAUGACGUCAAGUCAUCAUGGCCCUUACGAGUAGGGCUACACACGUGCUACAAUGGCGCAUACAAAGAGAAGCGACCUCGCGAGAGCAAGCGGACCUCAUAAAGUGCGUCGUAGUCCGGAUCGGAGUCUGCAACUCGACUCCGUGAAGUCGGAAUCGCUAGUAAUCGUGGAUCGGAAUGCCACGGUGAAUACGUUCCCGGGCCUUGUACACACCGCCCGUCACACCAUGGGAGUGGGUUGCAAAAGAAGUAGGUAGCUUAACCUUCGGGAGGGCGCUUACCACUUUGUGAUUCAUGACUGGGGUGAAGUCGUAACAAGGUAGGCGUAGCGAG
rnacentral:rRNA from 1 species